ACGGAAGGCAGCAGUGGGGAAUAUUGCACAAUGGGGGAAACCCUGAUGCAGCGACGCCGCGUGAGUGAAGAAGUUAUUCGUAAUGUAAAGCUCUAUCAGCAGGGAAGAAAAUGACGGUACCUGACUAAGAAGCCCCGGCUAACUACGUGCCAGCAGCCGCGGUAAUACGUAGGGGGCAAGCGUUAUCCGGAUUUACUGGGUGUAAAGGGAGCGUAGGCGGUGAUGCAAGUCAGAAGUGAAAACCCGGGGCUCAACCCCGUGGAUUGCUUUUGAGACUGUGUUGCUGGAGUACAGGAGGGGCAGGCGGAAUUCCUGGUGUAGCGGUGAAAUGCGUAGAUAUCAGGAGGAACACCGGUGGCGAAGGCGGCCUGCUGGACUGUAACUGACGCUGAGGCUCGAAGGCGUGGGGAGCAAACAGGAUUAGAUACCCUGGUA
rnacentral:rRNA from 1 species